rnacentral:rRNA from 1 species
UACGUAUGGAGCAAGCGUUAUCCGGAUUUACUGGGUGUAAAGGGUGCGUAGGUGGCAGUGCAAGUCAGAUGUGAAAGGCCGGGGCUCAACCCCGGAGCUGCAUUUGAAACUGCAUAGCUGGAGUACAGGAGAGGCAGGCGGAAUUCCUAGUGUAGCGGUGAAAUGCGUAGAUAUUAGGAGGAACACCAGUGGCGAAGGCGGCCUGCUGGACUGUUACUGACACUGAGGCACGAAAGCGUGGGGAGCGAACAGG